rnacentral:rRNA from 1 species
GACGAACGCUGGCGGCGUGCCUAAUACAUGCAAGUAGAACGCAGUUGCGAACGGGUGAGUAACGCGUAGGUAACUACCUAUUAGAGGGGGAUAACUAUUGGAAACGAUAGCUAAUACCGCAUACUAGUAGAUGGACCUGCGUUGUAUUAGCUAGUAGGUAGGGUAAUGGCCUACCUAGGCAACGAUACAUAGCCGACCUGAGAGGGUGGUGGGGCACAAUGGGACUGGGACACGGCCCAGACGCCCACGGGAGGGAGCAGUAGGGAAGCUUCGGCAAUGGGGGGAACCCUGAACAAGCAACGCCGCGUGAGUGAAGAAGGUUUUCGGAUCGUAAAGCUCUGUUGUGAAGGAAGCGGUACUUAACCAGAAAGGGACGGCUAACUACGUGCCAGCAGCCGCGGUAAUAC